rnacentral:piRNA from 1 species
UACAGUAUCGUUGGUUCAACGGCAGCGG